UGGUGUUCGGGUUGUCAUGCCAAUGGCACUGCCCGGUAGCUAAAUGCGGAAGAGAUAAGUGCUGAAAGCAUCUAAGCACGAAACUUGCCCCGAGAUGAGUUCUCCCUGACUCCUUGAGAGUCCUGAAGGAACGUUGAAGACGACGACGUUGAUAGGCCGGGUGUGUAAGCGCAGCGAUGCGUUGAGCUAACCGGUACUAAUGAACCGUGAGGCUUAACCUUACAACGCCGAAGCUGUU
rnacentral:rRNA from 1 species